GACGAACGCUGGCGGCGUGCUUAACACAUGCAAGUCGAACGAUGAACUUGGAGCUUGCUCUGGGGGAUUAGUGGCGAACGGGGGAGUAACACGUGAGGAACCUGCCCUGGACUCUGGGAUAACUUCGAGAAAUCGGAGCUAAUAUCGGAUAGGACCUUGCACCGCAUGGUGUGGGGUGGAAAGUUUUUCGGUUUGGGAUGGACUCGCGGCCUAUCAGCUUGUUGGUGGGGGAAUGGGUCACCAAGGCGGCGACGGGGAGCCGGCAUGAGGGGGUGACCGGCCAGACUGGGACUGAGCCAGGGGCCAGACUCGUGCGUGAGGCAGCAGGGGGGAAUAUUGGACGAUGGGCGCAAGCCUGAUGCAGGAACGCCGCGGGCGGGAUGAGGGCCUUCGGGGUGUAAACCGCUUUUAGUAGGGAAGAAGCCUUCGGGUGACGGUACCUGCAGAAAAAGGACCGGCUAACUACGUGCCAGCCGCCGCAGUAAAAC
rnacentral:rRNA from 1 species